GAAAUGCGAUAAGUAAUGUGAAUUGCAGAAUUCAGUGAAUCAUUGAAUCUUUGAACGCACAUUGCGCCCGCCAGUAUUCUGGCGGGCAUGCCUGUUCGAGCGUCAUUUCAACCAUCAAGCCCCGGGCUUGUGUUGGGGACCUGCGGCUGCCGCAGGCCCUGAAAACCAGUGGCGGGCUCGCUGUCACACCGAGCGUAGUAGAUUCUCAUCUCGCUCAGGGCGUGCUGCGGGUUCCGGCCGUAAAACAGCCUUAUUUUACCCAAGGUUGACCUCGGAUCAGGUAGGAAUACCCGCUGAACUUAAGC
rnacentral:misc_RNA from 1 species